rnacentral:rRNA from 2 species
CAGCCGCCGCGGUAAUACCAGCACCCCGAGUGGUCGGGACGAUUAUUGGGCCUAAAGCAUCCGUAGCCGGUCCUGCAAGUCCUCCGUUAAAUCCACCCGCUCAACGGUUGGGCCGCGGGGGAUACUACAGGGCUAGGAGGUGGGAGAGGCAAGCGGUACUCGAUGGGUAGGGGUAAAAUCCACUGAUCCAUUGAAGACCACCAGUAGCGAAGGCGGCUUGCCAGAACGCGCUCGACGGUGAGGGAUGAAAGCUGGGGGAGCAAACCGGAUUAGAUACCCGGGUAGUCCCAGCUGUAGACGAUGCAGACUCGGCGAUGGGCUGGCUUCGUGCCAACCCGGUGCCGCAGGGAAGCCGUUAAGUCUACCGCCUGGGGAGUACGGUCGCAAGACUGAAACUUAAAGGAAUUGGUGGGGGAGCAC